rnacentral:rRNA from 1 species
GACGAACGCUGGCGGCACGCUUAACACAUGCAAGUCGAACGAGAGAAGAGAAGCUUGCUUUUCUGAUCUAGUGGCGGACGGGUGAGUAACACGUGAGCAAUCUGCCUUUCAGAGGGGGAUACCGACUGGAAACGAUCGUUAAUACCGCAUAACAUAAUUGAACCGCAUGAUUUGAUUAUCAAAGAUUUAUCGCUGAAAGAUGAGCUCGCGUCUGAUUAGCUAGUUGGUAAGGUAACGGCUUACCAAGGCGACGAUCAGUAGCCGGACUGAGAGGUUGAUCGGCCACAUUGGGACUGAGACACGGCCCAGACUCCUACGGGAGGCAGCAGUGGGGAAUAUUGCACAAUGGAGGAAACUCUGAUGCAGCGAUGCCGCGUGAGGGAAGAAGGUUUUAGGAUUGUAAACCUCUGUCUUCAGGGACGAAAAAAGACGGUACCUGAGGAGGAAGCUCCGGCUAACUACGUG